rnacentral:rRNA from 1 species
CCCUUAGAUGUUCUGGGCCGCACGCGCGCUACACUGAUGCAUUCAACGAGCCUAUCCUUGACCGACAGGUCCGGGUAAUCUUUGAAUCUGCAUCGUGACGGGGAUAGAUUAUUGCAAUUAUUAAUCUUCAACGAGGAAUGCCUAGUAGGCGCAAGUCAUCAGCUUGCGUCGAUUACGUCCCUGCCCUUUGUACACACCGCCCGUCGCUCCUACCGAUUGGGUGUGCUGGUGAAAUGUUCGGAUCGGCCGUUUGUCGCGGUUUCCGCGGCUCGUGGCUGAGAAGUUCAUUAAACCCUCCCACCUAGAGGAAGGAGAAGUCGCAACA